rnacentral:sRNA from 1 species
GCCGGGCAUGGUGGUGCACGCCUGUAGUCCCAGCUACUCGGGAGGCUGAGGCAGGAGAAUCACUUGAACCUGGGAGGCAGAGAUUGCAGUGAGCGGUGAGCCGAGAUCAUGUCACUGCACUCCAGCCUGGGUGACAGAGUGAGACUCUGUCUCCA